AUAUCUUUUUAACAGUUUUUUUUAUAUUAAUAUUAUUACGAAGCAUGCGAAGAAUCAAAUUACACUGCAGUACAUAUUAAACAAUUUUCAAAAAAUAAAACCAAGUAGUGAUAUGAUACCUGCAGUAUUUAUUAUUAUUAUUAACAACGUAUAUUUUGUAAAUCAAACUGAGCUAAUAAAGGAAUACGUCGAAACAUGGUACACGACAUUUGCAGGCACGUUUCAUAAAAUGAAUAACACAGAAGAUUUAC